CCAAACGAUGCUUUGUAAUACAACUAUCUGGGUAAGGAGUACAACGGCUUCAUCCCCAUACAUAGCUCUCAGGAUUGGAAUCCCCAGGAUCAAAGUGUUUGGUAGUGUUGACAGAGAGAGCCCAGUGAUGAUCCAACUGAGAGAUCACUUGGAAGGACAAUAGUGGGAUUGAGAACUUCGCAACAAACUUGUUGAUGCCUGAGCAUUGAUCCGGUGUAAACAGCUUCCACCAUUUCACGGAUAUGUAAGCUAAGAUCAUGGCAACAUACAACGGGACAGUUGCUGCCACAACAUGGUAGGCAUCUGUGAGUGAAAUCAUGAUGGCUAUUGGUUGAAGGUGUAUCUUGAAAGAGUUUGAAGGCGGAAUCAGAAGUGAAUUGUUAGGGAAGCAAUGGGAGCAAUAAUUGGAAAUUACAUAGUUAAAGGAAGAAUUUUUGCUAAAUAUGUCAAAAGAAUGGGAAUAAGUGUGGGUGGGAAUUUGCUUUUUGUAUGGUGAAAUUUUGCCACAAAAAGGUUUAGUGCCUCUUUUUGAAGUUGAUACCGACAUUUUGUCUGGUGGAUGUUUUCCACGACCACCAUGACGUUUAUUUGAACCGCGGUAAUUGGUAAACCUUUCAAAAAAGGAGGGGGGACUUCUUUUUUGUCAGGUGUGCAAAGCAUAAAGUGCAAUUUCAUUGAAGAGUUGUGAGUAUUGCAGAAUGACCAACACUGCAAAAUUAAAGUUUGGCCUCUUUCCUCGCAGGCAAGUAAGUGUAUCAGUCAAGAAUCGUCUGCUCUAGGGCGGUACAAUUAAAGCAAUCCCGUAUAGAUCUAGCAUAUGGCAUAAUGUAUGCCCAAUAUGUUCUAGCCCAUCAGACGGCAUUCGCAUUUCUGCUUGCGUUUGAAAAUUGCCUGCACUUGGUGUACUUGUAACAACAAUAUGCUUCCGUACACAUAUUUCACCUGAACAAAAUAAGAGACUGUUUUUUCUAAAGAAAAAGAAUCCCAAGCGAUAAAAGUGUACUGCAUGCGCCAGAAUUUGUACUCUUGAUCCAGCACUAUUAUGUUAAUAGAGUCGAGAAUGAUUCAUAUGUCUUCUGUGUUCAAACACACUUUCUGCUUCAGUUGCAUACUUUACCAGAUUGGGUUAACCAUAUUUCAUACCUUAACUUCGACCAGUGGGAUC